GACGAACGCUGGCGGCGUGCCUAAUACAUGCAAGUAGAACGCACAGUUUAUACCGUAGCUUGCUACACCAUAGACUGUGAGUUGCGAACGGGUGAGUAACGCGUAGGUAACCUGCCUGGUAGCGGGGGAUAACUAUUGGAAACGAUAGCUGAUACCGCAUAAUAUUGAUUAUUGCAUGAUAAUUGAUUGAAAGAUGCUAUUGCAUCACUACCAGAUGGACCUGCGUUGUAUUAGCUAGUAGGUGAGGUAACGGCUCACCUAGGCGACGAUACAUAGCCGACCCGGGAGGGUUAUCGGCCACAACGGGACUGAGACAAGGCCCAGACCCCUACGGGAGGCAGCAGUAGGGAAUCUUCGGCAAUGGACGAAAGUCUGAACGAGCAACGCCGCGGGAGUGAAGAAGGUUUUCGGAUCGUAAAGCUCUGUUGUAAGAGAAGAACGGGUGUGAGAGUGGAAAGUUCACACUGUGACGGUAUCUUACCAGAAAGGGACGGCUAACUACGUG
rnacentral:rRNA from 1 species